AAGCUCUGUCUUGUGCUCAAUAGCUGCUCACACUAAAUUAGGCUUGGAUUAUUAAGUCUCCAGGAGUAUCACCCAAACUGAAUGAAGACUAUUACCCACAUUAAGUCUGACAAAGGUAGCUCAGCUAAGGUAUGGCUAUAUCUCCUUUUUUGGUUUAGGAACUCGGGGUGUGUAACAACCCUAAUUUAAUUUGCAAUAUCAUGGACUGGAGUUCCUGAAGCUCCUGACAGCAGAGAUGGCUUCAAAGCCCUUCCAAGCAGGGACCAGGUUUCCAGUGCCAAAGCAGCAUAGAUCUGGGGCUGGGUUUUGCCCACCAUGGAAAUGAAUCUCAGCUCAGAACUGGCUCUUAAGGGGAGAUGGAUGGCUCCCCAAACUCUGAGGCUCUGGGGUUAUAACUGUUUCCAUUAGGAAGGUUCCCAAGCCCACAGCCCAAAGUGUGAAAGCAAUAGAUGACAGUUCUGUCCCCUUUGUGACAAUGCAAAGCAGCCACCAGUGGGAGAAUGCCAGGCCCUGCAGCCACACCUGCAGCCCAGCACUGCCCUUUUGCUGCAGUGGGGAGGGAGGGGCCCUGCACUGCAGCGAUGCUGUCACAGGACUCUGAGCUCAGAGCUUUAAAGUUUGCAGCUAAACCCAGCACGCUCAGGCUGUAAAUCUUGGUGCUGCAGAACCAAGUCCUCGUCCUGGCUCAGCAGAACCUCUUAGAUUAGGUGGUGGUGUUUGCUGCAGGUUUAGGACCAGUCUGUAUAAAUUUAUCCCUGGCUCCCAACUUGUCAAAUCUUUUCCCCCUUUGCUCCCAGAUCUGAUUCUGCACAGAACCCAGGAUGCAGAACUGAAGCAACUGCUUGGAUCUGCUCUGCACAACCUCACUUCACCCAGGAAUGGAUUUUGGGAGAAGGAAGAGGGAUUACCUCAUCUUUUUCUUGAAGCUGCUCCUUUCUCUUGACUGUAUCAUUUCCCUGACAUCCCAUAUGCACCAAGUCCACUGAACACCACCGAGCUGGACAGGUGCCAGUCCAGUUUUCAUCCAGGCUCCUUGUAAACUCCAGGAUUUCACAAACCUUGGUGUAGGAACUAAUGAGAAAUCAGAAUCUGGCGCCAUGGCUGGACUGAAAUCAAACCAUGAAGCUCCUUCCCGACCUAUUAUAAAAAUUACAGUGUGGAAAGUGAAUUUAAUGGUGCAGAG
rnacentral:lncRNA from 1 species